UGUCAGUGGAUCAACCAUUCUGGAGUCUGG
rnacentral:piRNA from 1 species